rnacentral:rRNA from 1 species
GUAGUCUCGCACAGAUGCAUAUCAAUAAGCGGAGGAAAAGAAACUAACAAGGAUUCCCCUAGUAACGGCGAGUGAAGCGGGAAGAGCUCAAAUUUGAAAUCUUAAAGGGUUUCCCUUUACGAAUUGUAGUUUAAAGAAGUGUUUUCUGUUGAGGUUUUGGUAAAAGUUCUUUGGAAUAGGACAUCAUAGAGGGUGAGAAUCCCGUAUUUGACCUUUACUUUCAACUUUGUGAUACACUUUCAAAGAGUCGGAUUGUUUGGGAAUGCAGUCCAAAAUGGGUGGUAAAUUUCAUCUAAAGCUAAAUAUUGGCGAGAGACCGAUAGCGAACAAGUACCGUGAGGGAAAGAUGAAAAGAACUUUGAAAAGAGAGUUAAACAGUACGUGAAAUUGUCAAAAGGGAAGCGUUUGACACCAGUGUUGUUUUUCUGAAAAUCAAUUAAAGAACUGUUUAUGCUAAGUUGUUUAGACUUUAUCAGCUAUCUGUUUAGUUUUGAGCUUUUCUUUAAUGCACUUUUCAGUUAACAAGUCAACAUCAAUUUCUUUUGCUGUAAAAAAGCUUGAGGAAGGUGGCUUGAGAUUCGUCUUAAGUGUUUAUAGCCUCUUGCCUAUGCAGUCGGAGAGAUUGAGGUCUGCAGCGUAGAUCCUUCGGGGCUAAAUGCAUUUGUGCUAAGUUAUAGCAUUUUAUAGACAACUUGUUGACUAUGAUUUGUCUUGUAGCUUACUCGCCUAUGUUAUUUUACCUACGCUUAGGAUGUUGAUCUGUAGUGCGUGCGC